rnacentral:rRNA from 1 species
GAUGAACGCUGGCGGCGUGCCUAAUACAUGCAAGUCGAGCGAAUGGAUUGAGAGCUUGCUCUCAAGAAGUUAGCGGCGGACGGGUGAGUAACACGUGGGUAACCUGCCCAUAAGACUGGGAUAACUCCGGGAAACCGGGGCUAAUACCGGAUAAUAUUUUGAACUGCAUGGUUCGAAAUUGAAAGGCGGCUUCGGCUGUCACUUAUGGAUGGACCCGCGUCGCAUUAGCUAGUUGGUGAGGUAACGGCUCACCAAGGCAACGAUGCGUAGCCGACCUGAGAGGGGGAUCGGCCACACUGGGACUGAGACACGGCCCAGACUCCUACGGGAGGCAGCAGUAGGGAAUCUUCCGCAAUGGACGAAAGUCUGACGGAGCAACGCCGCGUGAGUGAUGAAGGCUUUCGGGUCGUAAAACUCUGUUGUUAGGGAAGAACAAGUGCUCUUUACAUAAGCUGGCACCUUGACGGUACCUAACCAGAAAGCCACGGCUAACUACGUGCCAGCCGCCGCGGUAACAC